rnacentral:rRNA from 1 species
UACAGAGGUCUCAAGCGUUGUUCGGAUUCAUUGGGCGUAAAGGGUGCGUAGGCGGCGCGGUAAGUCGGGUGUGAAAUCUCGGAGCUUAACUUCGAAACUGCAUUCGAUACUGCCGUGCUUGAGGACUGGAGAGGAGACUGGAAUUUACGGUGUAGCGGUGAAAUGCGUAGAUAUCGUAAGGAAGACCAGUGGCGAAGGCGGGUCUCGUGGACAGUUCCAUGACGCUGAGGCACGGAAGGUCAGGGGAGCAAACGGG